AGGCUACUCUGGUAGCCAAGAUGCACUCUCAAUGGUUUAGAGGUUCGGUCAGUGUAUAGACCGAGCGACGUGAGGCAUCGACCGCUGCCUAGUCGUCCGGGAUCGGGUCUUACAAGUCUGGUGCCAACAGCCGCGGUAAUUCCAGCUCCAAUAGCGUAUAUUUAAGUUGUUGCAGUUAAAAAGUUCGUAGUUAAACAUUGGGAUGGGUCGCCCGGUCCGCCUUCGGUGAGCACCGGUCGGCUUGUCUCUUCUGUCGGUGAUAUGCUCCUGGCCUUAACUGGCGGAGUCGUGCCUCCGGCGCUGUUACUUUGAAGAAGUUAGAGUGCUGAAAGCAAGCCUACGCUCUAUAUACAUUAGUAUGGGAUAACAUCAUAGGAUUUAGAUCCUAUUGCGUUGGCCUUCGUUAUCGGAGUAAUGAUUAACAGGGACAGUCGGUGUGACACCCCCAAUCUUAGAUGACCAGAAAUGACACGGUCGAUGUU
rnacentral:ncRNA from 1 species